UACGGAGGGGGCAAUCGGUAAUCGGAAGUACUGGGCGUAAAGCGCGCGUAUGUGGCUUGAUAAGCCGGUUGUGAAAGCCCCGGGCUCAACCUGGGAACGGCAUCCGGAACUGUCAAGCUAGAGUGCAGGAGAGGAAGGUAGAAUUCCCGGUGUAGCGGUGAAAUGCGUAGAGAUCGGGAGGAAUACCAGUGGCGAAGGCGGCCUUCUGGACUGACACUGACACUGAGGUGCGAAAGCGUGGGUCGCAAACAGG
rnacentral:misc_RNA from 1 species